UUGUCCAAAUUACGAAAAUACCCUUAGGAAUUGAGAAAUUCCCUACAUAUCCCUGAUUUCAGAAAAUAUUAAUUAAUUAAAAGGUUUAGUUGAUUAUUAUUUUUAUUAUUAUAUAGUAGUCCUACAUGAUGAUGAUUAUUUAUACAUGUGAUGUAUGAUGUGUGGACGGAUGAUCAUGGACCGUGUGAUGUGUGUACUUGUGAUUAUUAUUAUUGAGGUCUGCGAACCUCAAUUAUAUUUCUCGUUUAUUGUCCGGCCUGCGUGCCUAUGAUUAAGUUGUAAUCACAUGAGGAGGCGCAGCGGGAGCGUGGAUGCGAUAGCGGGACCCACGAGACGGACGAUCGUGAUGCAUGGAGAUGCAUCAAGAUGUCGACGAAACCGACGAGGACGAGAUGGACGAUCACAGGGCAUGGAGAUGCACCGUUGCACACAUAGAUCUUGAUGUGAGUGAUUAGGCCUACUGGCUCGGGCCUAAUCAUAUUAGGUUGUGGUCCAUGAUUAUCUGGUGUGAUUGCUUAUACACAUACUAGAUAUGUAUAUAUAUUUGCAUGCGAUGUAGAUAUAUAUUAAAUAUGUAUAUGUGUGACAUGUCAUAUUAGAAGACCAAAUUAUAGAAACAUCUCUCGAUAAUAUUAAGUCGGUAAACGUGAGGCAAUUAGAUUGACCCACGUGGCCUUCCAUCGUUAUGAGUAGGAACCGAUUCCCGGUGUAGGUUGAGUUGGUCGAGUCCCUCGAGACUCACCUAUAUCGCGAUUCGCUAUCUUGCUUACGA
rnacentral:lncRNA from 1 species